AUGGCAGAGAGGUUCAAACAAAGGAGGCAAGAUGAAAAACACAAAAGAGCCCUUCAACCAUUGCAUAAAAGAAGGAAUUUCAGCAAGCGCAGCUUGUCAAGCAGAUCAUCAAUAAAAAUGUUGAACAGAACCGGGCCCAGGACAGAACUUUGCAGCACUCCACUCGUCGCUUCUUUCCAGGAUGAAGACAACUCAUUGGUGAGCACCCUUUGGGUUCGUUCACUUAACCAAUUACAGAUCCACCUAACCGUAGUUUUGCCUAGCCCCCAUUUGACUAAUUUGUUUGCCAGAAGGUCAUGGGGGACUUUGUCAAAGGCCUUACUGAUAUGCUACAUCCAUAGCAUUCCCUGCAUUGACCCAGUACUCUAUUGAAAAACAAGAUCAGAGUACUAAACCAGGUUGAUUUUUGCUACUCCCAAAGUCCCCCUAUCAUUAAGCUCUGCAAUGUAUAAUGUGCAGAUGAGCACAUCAUGGAGGAGAUAGUACAGAGUGGAGAGAAGAUGUGGAAGAAGUUGAAACUGAAUUCCCUGAUGAGCCUAUGUAAAUUCUCCCACACAAAAUGGCAUUUAUAGGGAGCUUGGCCUCUCACUUCCUCAGGCCCCUAAUGCAAACAACCCAAUAACACUGCUGAAACAAACCCAAGCUUCCUUGUCUUCUUGGUCUUGGAGUGUGUGUGUGUGUGUGUGUGGGGGGGGGGGGGUACUUUCUCCCUUCACUUGGAUGAAAAGCUCCCUGUUUAUCUGUCACAGGCAGCUCAGUCCCUUGUGGGAUUUGGAAGCAAGCAGAAAAGAGAGCAGUGAAUCUCUGGAUUAGGCUGUUAAAAAUAACCUUGUGUUUCUCCUACCGCAUUCUUGUAAGAUGCUUAGGACAGGAAAGGGCGACUUAGAAACCAAUCUCUUGUAUUUAAUAGCUCUAGUGUUGGAGAAGGAGGGGUGAUGAUGGAUGAUUUACAGCUUGGUGGUUGGAUAACCUGAUUCCCCUUGGCCUUGGUUCCCAGGAACCUUUGUGAGCUUUGCUUCUUUGUCCCUGUAACCUCAGUUAGAUUGUGGACUGUGGAAAUGUCACUGGGCUCUUGGGACGGGCAGUGGGAAGAAGUUUUAUAACUUCCGAGUGUUUCCCUUGCGAUCAGGACAGAGCUGGGAAAUAAGGGCCUGCAUUCAACUUCUGUUGAAAAUAACUCCAUUUGGAAAUGGCUUUUCUGGUUUUGUCAUUGCCUACUUUGAUCUCUAGGGCUGCUGCGAAGGUUACCACUGGGUCUUGAAGAUAUUUUGUACAUGCUUUUAUGGGCUAAAUAUUAUUUUGCUUUUAAAAAUACUAUGCAUGUGUGGUGGAGUUAAAUAUUUUAUCUCUGACUUUUAUAUUAAUGUUAUAUUUUAAAAGUAUAUAUAUAAACAAAAUGGGGAAAGACAGAAGUAAAAUAGAAGGAAGGGUGGAGUACAUAUGAUAUGAACAUGGGCUAGGAAAUAGGCAUAUAUGUUAACAAAAUUUAGCAUAUAUGCAUAUGCUUUCUGGAAGCUGAAGUCUGUAAAAAUAUAAAUUGGUGCAUAGCUAAAGCAGUACAAUCUGAAUGCUGAAGUUUUAUCUUUCCAGUUUUGGAAUAUAACCUUGACAAGAUUAAAAGGAUGCAGGAUCUAGUCAUGUUGAACAAUGGUUAGAUUCCAAAUCACCAGAAUAUAAUUUACAAAGUAAGGUUGCCCAUGUUAAUGGGUUGCCACAGAAAUAAGCAAGAAAUAACCUUCAAAGCUAUUAUUAUUUGGCACAUGGAUGCAGUGAAAAUACACUGCUUUCCAUGACUUUAUUACUUUGCCUCCCUCUUUCACAAACUACAGCAAGGAUGAGAAGCUAAUUUGGCUGCUUUAUCACUCCCCUGACCCCAUAGCACAGUGGUUCUCAUCUGUGGGUCCCCAGGUGUUUUGGCCUACAACUCCCAGAAAUCCCAGCCAGUUUACCAGCUGUUAGGAUUUCUGGGAGUUGAAGGCCAAAACAUCUGGGAACCCACAGAUUGAGAACCACUGCCAUAGCAGUAAACUCAUAGGGAGGGUAUUGAUGUAGCACAAAGGUCUAAACAAUAGUAUCUUGCAUCCCAUUCAAAACAGUACCUCACAAGAUCAUAUGCACCUGUCACUCACACGAUUUUGCCCUCAUCAACUGUCAUAUUAUCCUUGAAUUUGUUUCAUUUCUUGUUGCUGGUCUAUGAUCAUAACAAAGAUUUGUUUCAUUUCUUUUAUAGGACAGGAUGGGAAACAUGUUGCUUUCCAGAUCUAGUUGGAUUGCAGGUCCCAGCAACCCAAGUCAAUAUAGCUGAUUGUGGGGGAUGGCAGAAAAUAUAGUCCAAUCUCUGGAGGGUCACAUUCUCCCCUCUGCUUCAAGGCCAAACGAGUUGUUGGUUAAAAGCACAUCUCUUCCCAAGUAUGCAUUGUGUUUGAAGUAUUUGGUAAUUGUACAUUCCAGAGCAAUUUGACCUUUUUUUGUAGUUCCCAGGCUCAUUCGUAGAUUAUUUUUGCAUUUCCGGAAUGUUUGGAAAUGCUUCUCAUUUUGAAAUGAAAGUGAUCCCGUUGUAAAACGGUAUUGCUGUGAUUCCAACUUAACUGUAGCACUAUAAUUGUGUAGUGGUCCCAGUAUCAAAUAACACUUGAAAAUUCAAAUUCUAAGAGAGAACACCUUUAAAUAAAUACUGAGUGAAAAAAGCCAUCCUUGCAUAUCAGUAUUUCAAUGGAAUUUUAAAUAUAGUUAGAUUCAUGUUGAUAUGGGAAGAAUGAGUUUACGAACGUGACAUGAAUGUGGAAUUGACUAGUUCAUCCCAUUCCUAGCAAGAGGAUUUUAAAGGAAGUUUUGCAUCCCUGGCGCUCUAUUUCUUUAGUAGAAUACAGAAAUAGGGAUUUUUUUUUACAGAAGAGGAAGGUCUAUUUUUUGCACAAGUCUGCCCUCUCCUGGCAAUUGCAAAGACAUUUGUCACACUUAUCCAUCAAAUCCUGUCAGUUUGUCCCUACUCUCAACUAUACUUCACUUUUGGGAAAUAUAUGUAUCUCUACGUCAGUAUAACUGAUAUGAGCACCCAUAUGGCACUACAGUAUGCAAACAUCUUCAUGGCUGACCUAGAACAACAUUUUCUCAAUAUAGGCACCCAGAAAUCUUUCCUUUAGCUAUGAUACCUUGAUGACAUCUUUAUCAUCAAUAAUAAUUUGAUUAGUUCCACCAAGAUUUCAACAGACCAAUCUCAGGCCUAGAAUAAUCUACAUAACAAAUUCAUUAAAAAAAACCCAACCCAUUGUGUAACCACACUGCCAAAUCUAUUGUUUACAGCCAAGCCACCCAAUACAACUGCAUUUGCUUAGACUUACAAAACAGAAACUCCAAACUCUUGGAUUUACAACAGACAUUUCUCAAACUGCAAUAUUCACCAAAAGUGAAGAAGCUAGUCAGUAAAACACGAUUCAUUCCCAGAUACAAUAUACAACAGUAGGUUGUUAUGAGUUUUUUGGAUUAUAUGGCCAUGUUCCAUAAGCAUUCUCUCCUGACGUUUCACCCACAUCUAUGGCAGGCAUCCUCAGAGGUUGUGAGGUAUGCUUGCCAUAGAUGUAGGCGAAACGUCAGGAGAGAAUGCUUUUGGAACAUGGGCAUAAAGCCCGAAAAACUCACAACAACCCAGUGAUUCCGGCCAUGAAAUCCUUCGACAACACAAUCUAUAACAGUACAGACAAUAACAGUACAGUACAGACAAUUGAAACUGAAUCCAGACAAGGCAGAGGUCCUCCUGGUCAGUCGUAGGGCUGAACAGGGUAUAGAGUUACAGCCUGUGUUGGAUGGGGUCACACUCCCCCUGAAGACACAGGUUUGCAGUCUGGGUGUUCUCCUGGACUCAUCAUUGAGCCUGGAACCCCAGGUCUCGGUGGUGGCCAGGGGAGCAUUUGCACAACUAAGACUUGUGCUCCAGCUGCGCCCGUACCUUGGGAGGUCUGACUUGGCCACAGUGGUCUACGCUCUGGUUACAUCCCGUUUGGACUACUGCAAUGCUCUCUACGUGGGGUUGCCUUUGAAGAUGGCCCGGAAGCUCCAAUUAGUACAACGGGCAGCAGCCAGAUUAAAAACUGGGGCAGCUUACAGGGAGCGUACCACCCCCCCUGCUAAGCCAGCUCCACUGGCUGCUGAUAUGCUACCGAGCCCAAUUCAAAGUGUUGGUUUUGACCUAUAAAGCCUUAAACGGUUCUGGCCCAAUCUACAUGUCCGAACAUAUCUCCUCCUAUGAGCCAGCAAGAUCCCUAAGGUCAUCUGGAGAGGCCCUGCUCUCGGUCCCACCUGCCUCACAAGUGCGGCUGGUGGGAACGAGGGACAGGGCCUUCUCGGUGGUGGCUCCCCAGCUGUGGAACACCC
ensembl:lncRNA